UACGGAGGAUGCAAGCGUUAUCCGGAAUGACUGGGCGUAAAGGGUCCGCAGGUGGCAGUGUAAGUCUGCUGUCAAAGAAUGAGGCUUAACCUUAUCAAGGCAGUGGAAACUACACAGCUAGAGUACGGUCGGGGUAGAAGGAAUCCCUGGUGUAGCGGUGAAAUGCGUAGAGAUCAGGAAGAACGCCGGUGGCGAAAGCGUUCUGCUAGACCUGUACUGACACUGAGGGACGAAAGCUAGGGGAGCGAAUGGG
rnacentral:rRNA from 1 species